AAGAGCUUUGAGUUUGCUUUCAGUAACUACGAGCAUUGAAUUUCUUUAAUAAGGUAUAAUUAGUUACUCAUUUUGUGUUUUUGUUACCUGUUAUACAGUUAGAUAAGGGACGAGCGGGUUUUUAUUGUUACAACAGUAUGUAUCGUAUGUGAUAUCUUAAAUGUUUUCGUUAUUUAAUGAAUUGUGUUUUAAUGGCAGAUUUUUAUUGUUUGAUGAAUUGACAACUUUUAAGCCUGAUAUCUGUGUUAAUUUUUAUUGACUUGAGAUGAUUACAGCUUUACAUAUUGUAUAGACACUGAUCUUUUGCAGACGAUUGCAUGUUGUCCUACAUGAGGGUCUGGCAGGGGUUUACAGAAUAGAGAAUAAUGGACAAAAAGUGCAGAAAAAAGGGGAAAAAAAGAAUAGACAAAAAAUAAAGAAUAUAGAAUAACGGGGUGCUAAAAUAUUAAGAAUAGAGGAUAACGGACAAAAUAAAUAAGAAUAGAGAAAAAUGG
rnacentral:lncRNA from 1 species